CACUCUGCUCCUCACACCCUCCAGCUCUAAAGCAAUGGACUCAUCGCCGCCGCCGAUAGAUGGGACAUGCCGUGCUCUGAUAGGCCGGAUCUGAGCCGUGACUUGUUUGCUCCACCAAUCAGCAUGCAGUCAGGUUGCAAGAGGUGAGAGUCACUUCUACAAAACACACACAUCACAGUGACGCAAAAAUAACAGUGUUUUUCCAGACCCACAUUUGUACUGUCACGUUCAUUCCCAUAAAUCCAGCUUUCGUUUUUUUCUUUUUUUCCUCAGAUUUCUCAUUAGACGUCACUGUUUAUCCCUGGUGAUUCACCGACACUCCUCCUGCUAAUCCUCCUACUGCGGGGACACUUGUGUAUUUGAAAAUGUAACCCUCAUACAGAGCAACACUUGCACACCUGCUGAUGUGAGAGUGUGUGCUUGUGUGUGUUUUUACCUUGGAUGAGAGCUCUGUGGUUGUCCACUAAGCAUCCGACCUCCUCAGGGUUUUAGACCCAUCAGCAGAACUUUCUCAUCAAGGCCCCCAAAGAGCUGAAAGAGGGAGGUUGUUCAGUGAUGGGAAAGUCUCCAAAAGUGGCCAAACUGGAG